rnacentral:rRNA from 1 species
UACGUAGGGUGCAAGCGUUAAUCGGAAUUACUGGGCGUAAAGCGUGCGCAGGCGGCUUUGCAAGACAGAUGUGAAAUCCCCGGGCUCAACCUGGGAACUGCAUUUGUGACUGCAUGGCUAGAGUACGGUAGAGGGGGAUGGAAUUCCGCGUGUAGCAGUGAAAUGCAUAGAUAUGCGGAGGAACACCGAUGGCGAAGGCAAUCCCCUGGACCUGUACUGACGCUCAUGCACGAAAGCGUGGGGAGCAAACAGG